CCUACGGGGGGCAGCAGUGGGGAAUAUUGCACAAUGGAGGGAACUCUGAUGCAGCAACGCCGCGUGAAGGAAGAAGUAUUUCGGUAUGUAAACUUCUAUCAGUAGGGAAGAAAAGAAUGACGGUACCUAACUAAGAAGAACCGGCUAAAUACGUGCCAGCAGCCGCGGUAAUACGUAUGGUUCAAGCGUUAUCCGGAUUUACUGGGUGUAAAGGGUGAGUAGGCGGUUAUGCAAGUCAUAUGUGAAAUGUCGGGGCUCAACUCCGGCCUGCAUAAGAAACUGUAUAACUAGAGUGCAGGAGAGGCAAGCGGAAUUCCUAGUGUAGCGGUGAAAUGCGUAGAUAUUAGGAAGAACACCGGUGGCGAAGGCGGCUUGCUGGACUGUUACUGACGCUGAGUCACGAAAGCGUGGGGAGCAAACAGGAUUAGAUACCCUAGUAGUC
rnacentral:rRNA from 1 species